rnacentral:tRNA from 1 species
GUUUGGUGCACUUAGUGGGCCGGGUCGGCGCUGCCUUCACACGGCAGAGGUCACUGGUUCAGAUCCAGUAACGCCCA